AUUGAACGCUGGCGGCAUGCCUUACACAUGCAAGUCGAACGGCAGCACGGGUGCUUGCACCUGGUGGCGAGUGGCGAACGGGUGAGUAAUAUAUCGGAACGUACCUUAUUGUGGGGGAUAACGCAGCGAAAGCUGUGCUAAUACCGCAUAAUCCCUAAGGGGGAAAGCGGGGGACCGUAAGGCCUCGCGCAAUUAGAGCGGCCGAUACCUGAUUAGCUAGUUGGUGAGGUAAAGGCUCACCAAGGCAACGAUCAGUAGCUGGUCUGAGAGGACGAUCAGCCACACUGGGACUGAGACACGGCCCAGACUCCUACGGGAGGCAGCAGUGGGGAAUUUUGGACAAUGGGGGCAACCCUGAUCCAGCAAUGCCGCGUGAGUGAAGAAGGCC
rnacentral:rRNA from 1 species